GGGGGUGACUGGCUUCGACGGGGAUCAAGAGGUCAACGGAGCGUGCCGAGCUCUCGGGGUCUCGUUAAACCCUCGGGAAACCCAAUAAAUGCCAACGAACCAUUGGCUCUCGCGGCGUAAGUGACCGCGACGUCUCUCCUGGUUUUGCCUGCGGGUCAGGAAGAGGCGACAUGCAGCAGGCUGGUCUCUGGCUGGCGCUCAGCAGCCAGAGAUGAGACAAUGCUGAGCUAGCAGCCGCUCUAAGCCAGCCAAUGGGCGUGGGCGGAUGCGAAAGUAAAAACAUUGGCUACGCACGUAGGGCCGUUGCACUGAAGGUUCUCGGACGCGGGUUCGAAUCCCGCCACCUCCACCA
rnacentral:tmRNA from 1 species